rnacentral:lncRNA from 1 species
AGGAAUAAUGACAUUUGAGAGCCUACUCCCUGAAGUAGAAUUUAUGGUUGAAAGCAUGGGCCGGCCCUCAGCUGUCAUCAAGUCGUUCCAUUCUGGAUGCUGGCACCAGUUACCAGUCACCUGUUGGUUUCCUCCACCAACAUCAGGUUGAAGACUAGAUAUGAUAUUCUGAAUUUUCCCAUGUGUAUAGGAUCUAUUUCUCACCCUUAAUCAUUUACCAUUUAAAAGCUGGUGUCAACCUUCUUUUUUAUUCUUUGUAAUAUUGGGGGAAGUCAGAUUUUAUCAUUGCCUUUGUGUAUGUUUUUCUACAUUCUGGUUUUUAGAAAAUAAUCUUCAGAAACUUUUUUAAUAUUCAGAUACACAUCAAUUCAAGAAAUAUUUUUCAAACACCUAUUUUAUAUAAGUUUAAUAAAAUAAUGACACCUGCUGUACUUGAAUGGGCAUAGAAAAUAGGAACUAAAUGUGAUGCAGUGGAGAAGGUAACAGGCCCAUCAAGGCAGUUCAAGUAAUGUGAGGCUUAUAGGCUGGUGGUCUGAGGAAAGAGCAAUUAUUUACCCUGACUUUUUUUUUUAAUUGAGGGGGCAGAGAAUCAGGGAGGAAUUUAUGGAAGCAGUACUAUUUGAACAGGACCUUGAAAUGUUCUUUUUUUUUUUUUCUGAUGGUAUGUUAAUUCUUCAGAAUUCAGAAAUUUAUGUUUCUUCCUUGCUGGAAUGAAGGUGCUAUUCUUUGUUUUUUUCCCUACUUUAAAAUAUCAACAGUUUAAAAAAUAUGCUUAAAAUUUAGACUUGUUUAGAAUUUCUUACAGUGUUGUAAUUUGUCUUCAUGUUGAUAGCUAUUAAUAAAUAACCCAAUAGUAUUUACUAAGAAGUAAUGUUCUUUUCUCUUUAUGUAGUUGUGGUUUAUUUAUGUGUGAAGUUCAUAAAUGAACCUCUCUGAAAUUUGUCUUUAGUAACUAUUGAAAGGUUAAUGUAU